UUUUCAUUUUACGGGAAGUGAUGGAUUAGACCACACGUUCUCUAGCAAAAAAAUAUAAAAAAAAAUAAAAAAAAUAUAAAAAAAUCAUAAAAAACCCAAAAAAAUUGAAAAAACUUGAAAAAUCAUAAAAUUUUGUGUUACUUUAAGAACAGUUUUAUAUAAAAAAAAGCAAAAAAAAAGAAGCAAAAGGUAACUUUGUGAAUCGACAUUGUUUCCCCCCCGAAGUGAGUGAUUUCACCAUCGUCGAUAAGUAGCGUGACACACUUUCUGAUUUCUCAAAAGAUAGACGCACAGAAAAAAAGAAAAUUACAGCAGCCCCAAAAUGGCAUCUCUGUACGUUGGAGACCUUCACCAAGACAUCACGGAGGCGAUGCUCUUUGAGAAAUUUUCCACGGCGGGCCCCGUAAUGUCCAUCCGCGUGUGCCGCGACAUGAUGACCCGGCGCUCCCUGGGCUACGCCUAUGUGAACUUCCAACAACCCGCUGACGCGGAACGUGCCCUGGAUACGAUGAAUUUUGACUUGCUGAAGAGCCGCCCGAUUCGCAUAAUGUGGUCCCAGCGUGAUCCAUCGCUACGGAAGAGUGGCGUUGGGAAUGUGUUCAUUAAGAAUUUGGACAAGAGUAUCGAUAAUAAGGCGAUGUAUGACACAUUUUCGGCCUUUGGUAAUAUUUUGAGUUGCAAAGUGGCACAGGAUGAGAAGGGUGCUUCCAAGGGCUAUGGGUUUGUUCAUUUUGAAACUGAAGAAUCCGCCAAUACGUCUAUUGACAAAGUGAAUGGCAUGUUGCUCAAUGGCAAGAAGGUCUUCGUUGGACGUUUCAUUCCACGCAAGGAGCGCGAGAAGGAGCUCGGUGAGAAGGCUAAGCUCUUCACUAAUGUCUACGUGAAGAAUUUCGGCGAUGAACUCAACGAUGAGACGCUCAAGACGAUGUUUGAGAAGUACGGCGGUAUCACCAGUCAUAAGGUGAUGAUCAAGGAUGAUGGCAAGUCUCGUGGCUUUGGAUUUGUUGCCUUUGAUAAUGCCGAAGCUGCCGAAUCCGCCGUGUCUGCCCUUAAUGGGAAGGAGCUAAACGACGGGAAAACCUUGUACGUGGGACGUGCGCAAAAGAAGACUGAGCGUCAAAUGGAGCUGAAGCGCCGUUUUGAGCAGAUUAAGAAUGAACGACUGAGCCGUAGUCAGGGUGUGAAUUUGUACGUGAAGAAUCUCGAUGAUACCAUUGAUGAUGAGAUUUUACGUAAGGAAUUCACGCAAUUUGGCACAAUUACAUCAGCAAAGGUCAUGAUGGAGGAUGGACGUUCCAAAGGAUUUGGGUUUGUUUGCUUUUCCGCACCGGAUGAGGCAACACGUGCCGUCACGGAGAUGAAUGGGAGGAUUGUGGGUACGAAACCAUUGUAUGUGGCAUUGGCGCAGCGCAAGGAGGAUCGUAAGGCGCAUCUGGCGAGUCAGUACAUGCAGAGGAUGGCCAAUAUGAGGAUGCAACAGAUGGGACAGCUGUAUCAGCCAAGUGGAGCUGCGGGUUACUUUGUACCGUCAAUUCCACCAACUCAGCGCUUCUAUGGGCCACAGAUGACGCAAUUGCGUACAACUCCACGUUGGGCAACACAACCGGCUAUUCGUCAAUCGGGUGGUGUGCAGAAUGCCAAUUCGGGCGCCGUGGCUGUGGGUGUACCCGCGGCGGGAUAUCCGAACUUGUCAUCGGGUGCCGGUGGGGCGCAGUAUCGUCCCGGUGGCGGGGCUGCGGGUGUACGAGCUGCCCAGCAGGCGGGUCAAUCGGCACAGAAUGCUCAGGCGUCGCUGCGGAAUGUAGCACGUCCCAUUACGGGGCAACAGAAUGCCGCUGGAGCCAUUCAGGGGCGUCAAAUUGCAGCCCCAGUGGCAAAUACGGGACGUACCGGGAACUACAAGUACACGACAAAUAUGCGCAAUCCGCAGCAGCAGCUCGUGUCUCUGGGAGCGGCUCAGCCAGUACAGCAGGCUGUGCAUGUAAAGGGGCAGGAACCAUUGACGGCUUCUAUGCUGGCAUCUGCCCUACCGGCAGAGCAGAAGCAGAUGCUGGGUGAGCGCCUAUUCCCGCUCAUUGAGAACAUGUACCCCCAGAUGGCGGGCAAGAUUACCGGAAUGUUGCUCGAGAUUGACAAUUCUGAGCUACUUCACAUGCUUGAGCACAGUGAGUCGCUCAAGGCAAAGGUAGAGGAGGCUGUUGCUGUCCUCCAGGCACAUCAGGCGAAGCAGCAAGUUGUGACAUCUGUAAAACUCGACUACAAGACCCAGGAGUAAUAGCAACAACAACAAAAAAAAAACAUCGCGCGCGUGGAGAGAGAAAGAUUCAACAGGAUUUUUAUUCAGGAAACACACCGUGCUCGAUCAGGAGAGUUUUCACGUGAAUUUUCAAGUAUUGUUCGUUCCUCUGAUGAUGGCAAAUCUCUUUUUGGUGGUGGUUUAGUUUUUUUUCUCUUAAUUUCCUUCCAAUUUGAAUCAAUUUUUCUUUUUUUUUUUCAUUCAUUCAUUUAGUUAAUUUCUUUUGCGCAAAAAAUACUUGAAUUUCUUUUAAUUGUGUAUAAAUUACUUUUUCUCAGUUGAAUAAACAAAAAAAAAGAAACAAGAAAUCUUCAAUUUCGAAAAUUUGACACGAUGAGUUCUUUCUUCCGCAGACACUUAGUUAAUAACACAAUAUUUUUAUACAUAAAAUGAAGAAAAAGAAACCUGUAUCGAAGAAUCAAGGAAUAAAAAUUACAAUAAAGGAAAAUAAAAAGAGAAAA